rnacentral:rRNA from 1 species
ACAGAUAAGGAGCUUGCUCCUUUGACGUUAGCGGCGGACGGGUGAGUAACACGUGGGUAACCUACCUAUAAGACUGGGAUAACUUCGGGAAACCGGAGCUAAUACCGGAUAACAUUUGGAACCGCAUGGUUCUAAAGUGAAAGAUGGUUUUGCUAUCACUUAUAGAUGGACCCGCGCCGUAUUAGCUAGUUGGUAAGGUAACGGCUUACCAAGGCGACGAUACGUAGCCGACCUGAGAGGGUGAUCGGCCACACUGGAACUGAGACACGGUCCAGACUCCUACGGGAGGCAGCAGUAGGGAAUCUUCCGCAAUGGGCGAAAGCCUGACGGAGCAACGCCGCGUGAGUGAUGAAGGGUUUCGGCUCGUAAAACUCUGUUAUUAGGGAAGAACAAACGUGUAAGUAACUGUGCACGUCUUGACGGUACCUAAUCAGAAAGCCACGGCUAACUACGUGCCAGCAGCCGCGGUAAUACGUAGGUGGCAAGCGUUAUCCGGAAUUAUUGGGCGUAAAGCGCGCGUAGGCGGUUUCUUAAGUCUGAUGUGAAAGCCCACGGCUCAACCGUGGAGGGUCAUUGGAAACUGGGAAACUUGAGUGCAGAAGAGGAAAGUGGAAUUCCAUGUGUAGCGGUGAAAUGCGCAGAGAUAUGGAGGAACACCAGUGGCGAAGGCGACUUUCUGGUCUGUAACUGACGCUGAUGUGCGAAAGCGUGGGGAUCAAACAGGAUUAGAUACCCUGGUAGUCCACGCCGUAAACGAUGAGUGCUAAGUGUUAGGGGGUUUCCGCCCCUUAGUGCUGCAGCUAACGCAUUAAGCACUCCGCCUGGGGAGUACGACCGCAAGGUUGAAACUCAAAGGAAUUGACGGGGACCCGCACAAGCGGUGGAGCAUGUGGUUUAAUUCGAAGCAACGCGAAGAACCUUACCAAAUCUUGACAUCCUUUGAAAACUCUAGAGAUAGAGCCUUCCCCUUCGGGGGACAAAGUGACAGGUGGUGCAUGGUUGUCGUCAGCUCGUGUCGUGAGAUGUUGGGUUAAGUCCCGCAACGAGCGCAACCCUUAAGCUUAGUUGCCAUCAUUAAGUUGGGCACUCUAGGUUGACUGCCGGUGACAAACCGGAGGAAGGUGGGGAUGACGUCAAAUCAUCAUGCCCCUUAUGAUUUGGGCUACACACGUGCUACAAUGGACAAUACAAAGGGCAGCUAAACCGCGAGGUCAUGCAAAUCCCAUAAAGUUGUUCUCAGUUCGGAUUGUAGUCUGCAACUCGACUACAUGAAGCUGGAAUCGCUAGUAAUCGUAGAUCAGCAUGCUACGGUGAAUACGUUCCCGGGUCUUGUACACACCGCCCGUCACACCACGAGAGUUUGUAACACCCGAAGCCGGUGGAGUAACCAUU